AUAAGCCUUUUGAGGCCCUUCGUCUACAACAAGAAAAAAAUGAGAAGCAACAAGAAGAAGCAAAACAUAAUUUGUUGUUUGGUAAUGCAACAAUUAUACAUUAUAACAAUCUCCACGGUGGUUGUGGAAUGCAUAUCUAUAGUGUGAAAGAUAGUAGCCAAGAUCUAAAAGGUCAUGUUCCUACCAUAUUCCAAUUAAUUAUGUGUGUCAUGUUGACAAAAAGACAAAAUGCACUUAAUUUAAUACAUAACAAUCUCAUAACCCAUUUAAACAAUUAAAUCUUAUAGAAAGGAUGAAUUAAUUAACCUAAUAUUAUAACCCUGAAAUU
rnacentral:lncRNA from 1 species